rnacentral:rRNA from 1 species
AUUGAACGCUGGCGGCAGGCCUAACACAUGCAAGUCGAGCGGUAACACAGGGAGCUUGCUCCUGGGUGACGAGCGGCGGACGGGUGAGUAAUGUCUGGGAAACUGCCUGAUGGAGGGGGACAACUACUGGAAACGGUAGCUAAUACCGCAUAACGUCGCAAGACCAAAGAGGGGGACCUUCGGGCCUCUUGCCAUCAGAUGUGCCCAGAUGGGAUUAGCUAGUAGGUGGGGUAACGGCUCACCUAGGCGACGAUCCCUAGCUGGUCUGAGAGGAUGACCAGCCACACUGGAACUGAGACACGGUCCAGACUCCUACGGGAGGCAGCAGUGGGGAAUAUUGCACAAUGGGCGCAAGCCUGAUGCAGCCAUGCCGCGUGUACGAAGAAGGCCUUCGGGUUGUAAAGUACUUUCAGCGGGGAGGAAGGCGAUAAGGUUAAUAACCUUGUCGAUUGACGUUACCCGCAGAAGAAGCACCGGCUAACUCCGUGCCAGCAGCCGCAGUAA